AGAGUUUGAUCAUGGCUCAGGAUGAACGCUUGCAGUAUACUUGACACAUGCUAGUCGAAUGUUUUUAAAACAUGGCGUACAGGUGAGUAAUAUACAAGAAUCUACCUUAAAGUUUGAAAUAAUCAUAUUUUUUUUAAGAAUGCUCUGCAGUGAUAACUUCAAUAAAAGUAAAAUACUGCUUUAAGAUGAGCUUGUAUAGGAUUAAGUUGUUGGUAAGGUAAUGGCUUACCAAGCUGAUGAUCCUUAGCUGGUCUGAGAGGACGAUCAGCCACACUGGGACUGAGAUAAGGCCCAGGCUUUUAGCCAGCAGUGAGGAAUUUUGGACAAUGCGCGAAAGCGUGAUCCAGUAAUACUGCGUGAAUGAGGAAAGCAAAAAAGGUUUAUAAGCUUUUUAAGUUUAUAGAUCGGUUGUAAAAUUCUUUCGCUAAGUAGGAUUGUGACUUUAUUUAGAGAAGAAGCCCCGGCUAAUUUCGUGCCAGCAGCCGCGGUAAUACGAAAGGGGCGAGCGUUAUCCGGAAUGAUUGGGCGUAAAGAGUUCGUAGGCGGUAUUUGUUGUUACAUGUUAAAUCCUAGGUUUAUACUUAGGUCUGCGUGUAAUACUCUUUUACUUGAGUAUAGUAGAGGAUAACAGAAUUUCAUACAUAGGGGUAAAAUCCAAUUAUUUAUGAAGGAAUGCCAGUGGCGAAAGCGGUUAUCUGGACUAUUUACUGACGCUGAGGAACGAAAGCAUAGGGAGCAAACAGGAUUAGAUACCCUGGUAGUCUAUGCUGUCAAAGAUGAGUGCUAAUAUUGGGAGUUUUUUCUGAUGUAAAGUUAACACGUUAAGCACUCCGCCUGGGAAGUACGAUCGCAAGGUUGGAACCCAAAGGAAUUGACGGGGGUCUACACAAGUGGUGGAGCAUGUGGGUUUAAUGCGAUAAUACGCGCAAAACCUUACCAAUUCUUGAAUAUAAUUUAUUUAUUGUUUUACUUCAAUAAUUUUUAAUUUCAUAUUUAAUAUCUGAAUAAAUCUAAUUAUACAGGUGUUGCAUGGCUGUCGUCAGCUCGUGCCGUGAGGUGUUUGGUUCAGUCCUUUAACGAGCGCAACUCUUUUCUUAUAUUGGUAACUUUAUCAGAAAUGAUCAAAGAACCACUUUUAAGAUACAGCUAGUGAUAAACUAGAGGAAGGUGAGAAUGACGUCAAGCCCUUAUGGCCCUUAUGAAUUGGGCUACACACGUGCUACAAUGGUAAUUACAAAAAGUUAUACAAAAAAGAAAUUUCUAGUCAAUCUUUAAAAAUUAUCGUGUUCGGAUUGUAGGCUGCAACUCGCCUACAUGAAGGUGGAAUCACAAGUAAUCGUAGAUCAGCAUGCUACGGUGAAUUUGUACUUAGACCUUGUACACACCGCCCGUCACAUGCCGGGAGUGAGUUUUAUUUGAAAUCUUUUUAUACUGUACGUUAAUAUUAAAUUCUUUUUUUAAUCUUUAAUGGUUGAUUUACGGUAUUGUGGAUUAUUAUAAAAUUCAUAACUGGGAUGAAGUCGUAACAAGGUA
rnacentral:rRNA from 1 species